GACGUAGGGCGCGAGCGUUGUCCGGAUUUAUUGGGCGUAAAGAGCUCGUAGGCGGCUUGUCGCGUCGACUGUGAAAACCCGCGGCUCAACUGCGGGCCUGCAGCCGAUACGGGCAGGCUAGAGUUCGGUAGGGGAGACUGGAAUUCCUGGUGUAGCGGUGAAAUGCGCAGAUAUCAGGAGGAACACCGGUGGCGAGGGCGGCUCACUGGACCGGUUCUGACGCUGAGGCGCGAAAGCGUGGGGAGCAAACGGG
rnacentral:rRNA from 1 species